CUUUUAUUAUAUCCCCAGGACAUAUCACAGUAACUAGAAUAUUUAUUAAUAGCAGGGGGAAAGGGGCUGACUAUUCUUUCAAUUCCCUCCUCUGAAACAUAGUGAUGCAUGACUGUGAAUAAGUCACUUAACCUUAAUAAAAGCUUGUUGAUUUCACUUGACUUGACUAUCUUUGGGAAGAACUAGAAAAUGUUUGGUAGAUAACGAGUGGCAGAUUUAGGCUGAAGACAAAAUUCUUAAUAAUAGUAUCCAUUCCCAUGUGGAAUGUUCUGCCUCGAGAAACAAUGAAUUCUCCAUCUAUGGAAGAUUCUGUUUGGAAUCUGGACAAGCAACCACUAGUCAGGGACUUUGUCUAGGGGAUUCUUGUUCUGGGAUAUGUUGAAAGAAAGUAGACCUGGAUAACCUCUGAGGUUCCUUUCAAACUUUGUGGCUGGCUAAGGGGAAAAAACGAAAAUAAAAAUUCAAGAGCUAUCCAGAAAUGAAAUGGAGUUUCCUCAGCAACUGAGACAUUGUUCAUGGAACUAGGGUUUUCAAGAGAGGGAUGAGGAGGAAGACCAUUGCACCCAUGGGUGAUAUGAAGAGAGGUCAAACAAUAGACUUAAGACCAGAAGAUGUCCCUAGCCCUAACUCACUACCCUGCAUAGUGGGAUUUUAAGAUAAAGGGACCCAAGAGAUUAUCUAAUAUGCCCCUCAUUUUGAAGAUGCGGAAAUUGGGGUCCAAAAAGUGAAGUUAUUUGUCCAAGACUACAUAGAUAUUGAUAGAUUGUAUGAAGAUCUUCUGCUCCAGAAUCCAGCACUAAUUACAUGAGUCAACAUCAGACUACUGUUCAUUUUUACGUUCAAUAAAUACAGUAGACAUUUGCCCACCAUUUUAAAAGCACUGGAUUAAAAUUUUUUCUUCUUUAUUUUGAGGGAAAAAAAUCUAACCAUUUGAGGGAUUUGACUCUGUAACCAUGGAAACUAAAAACUUCCUGAAGACAUCAGCAUCAUCUCUACAAAAAUGGUGUUCAGAUCCUGAUUUGAAGAACACGAGUCUUCAAUCAAGUCUAGACGAUGGCGAAUGGCAUGUAGACCAGACGAAGGACCAGAGCGGAAGGAAGAGAAUUUCUACAAGCAACAUGACUGGACAUGGAAGGACUGUGGAACUUUGA
rnacentral:lncRNA from 1 species